rnacentral:rRNA from 1 species
AUUGAACGCUGGCGGCAGGCCUAACACAUGCAAGUCGAGCGGAUGAAGGGAGCUUGCUCCUGGAUUCAGCGGCGGACGGGUGAGUAAUGCCUAGGAAUCUGCCUGGGAGUGGGGGAUAACGUCCGGAAACGGGCGCUAAUACCGCAUACGUCCUGAGGGAGAAAGUGGGGGAUCUUCGGACCUCACGCUAUCAGAGGAGCCUAGGUCGGAUUAGCUAGUUGGUGGGGUAAAGGCCUACCAAGGCGACGAUCCGUAACUGGUCUGAGAGGAUGAUCAGUCACACUGGAACUGAGACACGGUCCCGACUCCUACGGGAGGCAGCAGUGGGGAAUAUUGGACCAUGGGCGAAAGCCUGAUCCAGCCAUGCCGCGUGUGUGAAGAAGGUCUUCGGAUUGUAAAGCACUUUAAGUUGGGAGGAAGGGCAGUAAGUUAAUACCUUGCUGUUUUGACGUUACCAACAGAAUAAGCCCCGGCUAACUUCGUG